rnacentral:misc_RNA from 1 species
GGAUCAUCUCGCUCAACGACGCCACCAGCCCCGGAGACAUGCUCUACGUGGACGGCUUCGUCAUCACAGGAGGUGACGCAUCGGGUACGGGCAACCCGAGCCAGAGCACGAUCACGUUCACGGGGACCGCGCCCUCGGGAUUCGCGGGCGCGCCCGGGAUGGCUGUCGAGCACGUGACGACGUCGGAGAGGGCAGAGCUGCUCGAGGCGGUCCUCGAGGUGCCGGAAGAGGUCUUCAGCAGCCGCGAGAUCAAGUUCUUCGACACGCUGGGUGCCCUGUUUGGCGAUGCGAAGAACUUGUUGCCGACCGGUUCUUUGCAGGUAACGCCGACGGUC